rnacentral:rRNA from 1 species
GACGGCUCAUUAACACGUGGUUAACAUACCCUCAGGUGGGGGAUAACCUUGGGAAACUGAGGAUAAUACCCCAUAGAAAAAGCAGUCUGGAACGAUUCUUUUUCGAAAGCAUAUGCGCCUGAGGAUUGGACUGCGCUCGAUUAGGUAGUUGGUGGGGUAAUGGCCCACCAAGCCUACGAUCGGUACGGGCCUUGAGAGAGGAAGCCCGGAGAUGGGGACUGAGACACGGCCCCAGGCCCUACGGGGCGCAGCAGGCGCGAAACCUCCGCAAUGCACGAAAGUGCGACGGGGGGAUCCCAAGUGCUCAUGCACAGCAUGGGCUUUUAUCAAGUGUAAACAGCUUGAGGAAUAAGGGCUGGGCAAGUUCGGUGCCAGCAGCCGCGGUAACGCCGACGGCCCGAGUGGUGGCCACUUUUAUUGGGCCUAAAGCGUCCGUAGCCGGUCCAGUAAGUCCUUGUUUAAAUCCUGCGGCUUAACCGCAGGACUGGCAGGGAUACUGCUGGACUUGGGACCGGGAGAGGACAAGGGUACUUCAGGGGUAGCGGUGAAAUGUGUUGAUCCUUGAAGGACCACCUAUGGCGAAGGCACUUGUCUGGAACG